AUGGGGGUAAUAAGAUGUUUUGGGAUAGCAAUCUUAGUUCUUUUAGGAUUUCUAGGCUCAACACAAGCUCAACUGCAGUUGGGUUUUUACUCUAAGAACUGCCCAAAAGCUGAGAAGAUUAUUCAAGACUUUGUUAACCAGCACAUCCACAAUGCUCCAUCAUUGGCAGCUGCCCUCAUAAGAAUGCACUUCCAUGACUGCUUUGUCAAGAUUUGUAUCAACUCUUUUAUCUUCUCGCAUGAACUUUUUUCCACUGUUAGAAAUAUUGAAUGUAAUUAUAUUGUAUUUCAUGAUAAAAGAAUGUACAUAGGUGCCUUUAUAUAAGAGGCAUAUGUGUGCAGUACAAGUAAAUAUGUGUACUAUACAAGUAACCUAAUUGGGCUUAAAGCCCACAACACUAUAUACGUUAACAGCCCCCCUCAAACUCAAGGUGGAUGUGAGACCAACUUGAAGUUGUCAACCAAAGUACGAAAACGUCCCUUAGGAUGUAACUUCGUGAAGAUGCAAGUUGAUCUUUAGAGGAGACUGAGAUCAGCUUGAGAGCACCAUGAACAAGAUGAAAACGGAUAAAAUGACAAUCAAUCUCAAUGUGUUUAGUCCGUUCAUAGAAGACAUCAUUGUGAGCAAUAUGAAUAGCACUCUGGUUAUCACAAUAAAGAGGAGUCGCAGAGGAUGUAGACACACCUAAGUCUUUGAGAAGCCAUCGUAGCCAAAAGAGCUCAGAUGUGGUAUCAGCAAAGGCACGAUAUUUUGCUUCAGUACUAGAGCGGGUCACAUGAGUUUGUUUCUUACUUUGCUAAGAAAUCAAAGAAGAACCAAGAAGAAAGCAAUAACCAGUGGUGGACCUGCGAUCAGUGGGCUUUCCUGCCUAAUCAGCAUCAGAAAAUGCACAGAGAGUAAGAGGAGACUGAGCAGAGUAGAAAAGACCAUGGAAGAGAGUGCCCUUUAGGUAUCAAAGAAUGCGUAGAACAGCAGCAUAGCGAGUCGAUCGUGGAGCAGAUAGAUAUUGGCUCACCUGGUGAACAGCAUAGGAAAUGUCUGGACGAGUGACAGUGAGAUAAACCAAGCCAACCAAGCGUCUGUAAAGAGAGGGAUUAGACAAUGGUUUCCCCCUUGAGGGAGUCAGAUGCACAUUAAACUCAACUAGAGUGUCAACAGUCUUGCUAUCAAUGAGUCCAGCGCGAGACAAGAGUUCAGAGGUAUACUUGGCUUGAGUAAUAUAAAGUUCAUCUGUAGAAUGAGUGAUUUCAAGACCCAAGAAGUAGCUGAGAUGUCCAAGAUCUUUCAUCUCAAACUGCUGACUGAGAAAAGUCUUGAGUUGUUGAAUGCCAUUGAGGUCAUCACCAGUUAUGAUCAUAUCAUUCACAUAUAAGAGAAGUAAAAUAGUGUCUUUGUCAGUGCGACGAAGAAAUAAGGUAAAAUCAUAGUGACUAGCCAUGUAACCCAAGUGAGAGAUGGUAGAGCUGAAAUUGGCAAACCAAGCUCGUGGAGCUUGUUUAAGGCCAUAAAGUACACAUCGAAGGUGACAAACCUUGUUUGAGUCAACAGAGAGAUCAAGAGGAGGUUGCCUAUACACUUCUUCACUUAAAUCCCCAUUAAGGAAUGCAUUUUUGACAUCCAUCUGAAAAAGGUCCCAUUUACUGGCAACAGCAACAACUAAAAGGGCAUGAACAAAUGAGAUACGAGCAACCGGAGUAAAGGUCUCUUUAUAAUCAAUCUCAUACUCUUGUGUAAAACCUUUUGCAACAAGACGAGCUUUGUAGCGCUCAGUGGACCCAUCAAAGCAAGUCUUAAUCUUGUAGAUCCACUUACAACCAACCACAGAUUUCCCAAGAGGAAGUGUCACCAAAUCCCAAGUAUGGUUUUUAGAUAAUGCAUCAAGUUCCUCUUUCAUUGCAAUCUGCCAUAAAGGGUCAGUGGAAGCCUCAAGAUAGGUGUAAGGCUCGUGUAAUGUAACAAGAGCAGUGUAACAAUGAUAGUCAAGUAAAUGUGCAGGAAUAGAUCUUACCCUAGUUGAGUGACGAGGUGGAAUGUCUUGUGCAAGAUCUUCAGGCGGAGCAGGAGCAAGAGACCCAAGCUCAGGAUUGGGGUUGGGUAGCUCGUUUUCAACCUGUUCAUCCUCCACCUAUUCAUUAAAGGGUGAACUAGGAAAGGGAUCAGUGAUAUCUAGUGGUUGGACAGAGAAGUCUACAUCAACAAAAUCAUGAGCAACUACAGGAGGAUCAGGAGCAGCUACAGGAGGAUCAGGAGCAGCUACAGAAGGAAUAUGUGCCUCAUUUGAAAAAAGAUCUAAGAUAGAGAAGGAAGACAAGGAAGCACUAAAAUGAGAGAGCUCGACAAAGAGGCGAUGUUCCCAAAAAACAACAUUACGGGAGAUACGAAGACGAUGAGAGACAAGAUCAUAACACCUAUACCCCUUUUGAGUUUUGCCAUAGCCAAGAAAACAACAAAGCCUUGACCGAGGCUCAAGUUUGUUAUGCUCAUGUGGCUGAAGAAGAACGAAACAAGCAUAACCGAAGGAGCGAAGGUGGUGAUAGUCUGGAGGUGACCCAAAAAGGCGCUUAUAUGGAGUUUGAUUUUGGAUAACAGGACUCAGAAUGUGAUUAAUAGUAUGAACAGGAUGAAGAGCAGCUUCACCCCAAAAAGGAGCAGGAACUUUAGCAGAGAGAAGGAGAGCACGAACAGUGUUAAGAAUAUGACAAAGUUUUCGUUCGGCUCUACCAUUUUGUUGAGAGGUACCUAGACAAGUUAGUUGAUGAACAGUGCCAUAGGAAUGCAAAAUAGCUUGGAAAGCAUAUUGAGUAUAUUCAAGAGCAUUAUCAGAUCGAAAAAUUUUGAUGCGUCUGGAAAACUGAGUUUCAACCAUUUUUGCAAAAUUAGAAUAUACUUCCAACAAUUCAGAACGAUGUUUCAUAUUAAAAAUCCAGCUAUAGCAAGAGUAAUCAUCAACAAAGACAACAAAAUAUCUAGACCCUCCAAUACUAGAGACAGAGGAAGGCCCCCAAACAUCAGAAUGAAUAAGGUCAAAGAUUUCAGUGGAUAUGGAUUCACUAGUACUGAAAGGUAAAGCUGGUUGUUUUCCAAACUGACAUGAAACACAAUCAAAAUUUUCUGUAGACAUUGAACCUAACAAAACUCUAGAAGCCAAUUGUUGUACUCAAGAGAAAGAUGCGUGACUAAGUCAAGCAUGCCAAAGUGCAAGGGAAGAAGUGGAAGAAACUGCAGCAGCUGCAGCAAUAGAAACAGGAGCAACAAGUGGAAGACGAAGGUUGUCCACGAGAAACAUACGCCUAACUCUGGAACCGGUCCCAAGCUCCUCUCCCGUCCUAGGAUCCUACACAAUGCACCCAAAAUAAUCAAAGGUAAUGUGAUAACCCAACUCAGCUAAUUGUCCCACAGAAAAUAAAUUAUAAGAAAGGUCAGGAACAUUAAAAACUUUAGGAACCGAGAGGUUGGAAGUUGAAACUGAACCUAUAUUAUGACCAGACAUUGUGGAACCAUUUGCUGUGUGAAUAUUAAGAGGGUGUGGUAUAGGUGUAAGGUCAGAAAAUAAGGACGAGUGAGGUGUCAUGUGAUUGCAACAAGCAGAAUCCAUGAGCCAAGAGAUAGGAGACAUACCAGAUAAAGCUGAGAGAGAAGAUGAAUAAAAUGUAUUACCAACUAUACGAAUGACAUUGACGAUGAUAUUUAUAAGUUCAUCUCUGGAAAUGGAAAAAGUGGAUCCCGAAGACUUAGACUGUGCAAAGACAGGAGCCAUUGGUUGGACACUCUCAGUGUUAGCAAUAGUAGUAGUAGAAAUUGAAACAGCUGAUUUGUUGCGAUGAUAGCAAGUCUCAAUAUUGUGGCCAAAAUGUUUGCGAAAUUUGCAAAAACAUUUAAUGGAUUAGAAGCGAUGAUUGUUGCAAUAAGAAGAAGCCCUGCCCUUAUUCUUCAUUUAGAUGCAAAAUAUGCAAAAAUGGACAGCAAAAAUGAAAUCUACACGAAAAAACUGGGUAAGGAGGACCUAGAAUGAAAAAAGUCAACUCGUAGAAAAGUCAACGGUCAAAGUCAACGGCCCGGUCAAAGUCAACGCGGUCAACGGUCAGUGGUGAUGACGUGAUCGCUUCUGAGUGCUGACGUAAGCAUUUAUGAUGUCACUAGGGCUAACGUGGUGAAGAUGAUGACGUCAGCGGACCGACUCUGGCGUGUGAGGCAUGCGAAAGUGCGUGGACGGUGCGUGACAGCACGUGAAGAAUAUUGGUGGCGCAUGGAAGGUCCGAUGAAGACGAUAUUUCACAGAAAUUCAGAUCGGAGAGAAUACUUUCCAAUGGUAUAAUCAGUGGUCUGAUCGGAGUAGCAGAAGUGGUGGUGGUGGCAAGGUAGUGGUCUUUGAUGUACUAAAGUCGCGGUGGAGGCAGUGGUGCUUCUCAUAACAACGGCUACAGAUGACAGCCAAGAAGACAAGACUCCUUAAGAGAGGUACACCAAAGGAUUAGAGCAGUGGCUCUGAUACCAUGUUAGAAAUACUGAAUGUAAUUAUAUUGUAUUUCAUGAAAAAAGAAUGUACAUAAAUGCCUUUAUAUAAAAGGCAUAUGUGUGCAGUACAAGUAAAUAUGUGUGCUAUACAAAUAACCUAAUUGGGCCUAAAGCCCACAACACUAUAUACGUUAACAUCCACACUGCUUUUCUUAGCUUAUUCUUCAUGAGUGUUUUACUAUAUAUGAAUGAAAAGAUAUUGCCACUUUUGGUUGUAGUUACUAACAGAGAAGUCCGCGUUUUUGCCUCUUAUUCAAGGGUGUGAUGCAUCUUUGCUUCUGAACUCAACCUCAAAUAACCAAGCCGAAAAGGAUGCUAAUCCAAAUCUGACAGUCAGAGGUUUUGACUUCAUUGACAGAGUGAAGAGCCUAGUUGAAGCUGACUGUCCUGGCAUAGUUUCUUGUGCAGAUAUCAUUGCUUUGGUUGCAAGAGAUUCUAUUGUAGCCACGGUGAGAACUAAAAACAAUUUUAUUCUAGCUUUAUCCUGCAUAUAUACAUUGUUGGGCUUUGUGGAGCCUAGUUUUGUUUGAUCCGAUUUGAUGACCUAACCCGACCCGAAUAAUGUUGCAUGGAUUUUAAUGGGAGAUUUACUGAGGCUUAGUCCAUGAGCUCUCCAGCUUGGGGUUGCCCCUAAUAAAUUUUUUUUGGCCUGUUUAGCCCAUUAUGGAACUGCCUUUUGUAAUUAGGGGUUUUUAGUGUGGUAUUGUUGCCGUGUUUUGAUAUAUAGAGAGAAAAUAUUGUAGCCGCAAGUUGUACUCUGUAUUCUUCCCUAAUAAUAGUGAUAUCCCUAAAACUCUGUGGACGUAGGCAAAUUGCCAAACCACAUAAAUACUGUCUCGUGCGUAUGAUUUUUUUUUUUUUUUUUGGCUUGUGUUUUCUCUAUUUUUUGUUUCUCAUAGGUUGGAAUUUUGGUUGAAUUCCCAACAACUGGUAUCAGAGCCUAGGGUUAGGUUUGAGUGGGAGCAAUGGCAGAGGAAGCAGGAAAGACGUCUGGAAUAUAAAAAUUUAAUGGCACAGACUUUGCGUAAUGGAGGAUGCAGAUUGAAGAUUAUCUUUAUGGGAGGAAAUUGCACCUACCUCUUUUGGGGACAAAACCUGAGGCAAUGAAAGCUGAUGAAUGGACUCUUCUUGACAGACAGGUACUGGGAGUUAUCAGGUUAACUCUGUCUAGGUCUGUUGCACACAAUGUUGUAAAGGAGAAGACCACAGUAGAUUUGAUAACAACUUUGUUUGGUAUGUAUGAAAAGUCGUCAACAAAUAACAAGGUACAUCUAAUAAAGAAAUUGUUCAAUUUGAAGAUGGCAGAAAAUGCAUCAGUAGCACAACAUCUGAAUGAAUUUAACACUAUCACAAAUCAAUUGUCGUCUGUAGAAAUUGAUUUUGAUGAUGAGAUUUGUGCUCUGAUCGUCUUGCCUUCUUUGCCAAACAGUUAGAAGGCAAUGAGGAGGGCAGUAAGUAAUUCUACAGGAAAGGAAAAGCUCAAGUACAAUGAUAUUCGAGAUUUGAUUUUGGCUAAAGAAAUUCGCAGAAGAGAUGCAGGUGAAACCUCAAGAUCUGGUUCUGCCCUGAACCUUGAGACAAAAGGCAGAGGUAAUAACAAAAAUUCAAAUCGGGGCAGAUCAAAAUCCAGAAAUACUAAUCGGAAUAGAAGUAAAUCUAGAUCAAGCCAACAAGUACAAUGCUGGAAUUGUAGGAAAAUAGGUCACUUUAGGAACCAAUGCAAAAGUCCUAAGAAGAAGAAUGAAGAUGAUUCUGCUAAUAUUGUAACAGAAGAGGUACAUGAUGCAUUACUUCUUGCAGUAGACAGUCCACUUGAUGAUUGAGUUUUGGACUUAGGAGUUUCGUUUCAUACCACUCCACACCGAGAAAUAAUACAGAAUUAUGUUGCUAGUAAUUUUGGUAAGGUGCAUUUGGUUGAUGGUUCAGCCUUGGAUGUUGUGGGUAUGGGAGAUGUCCGGAUAUUGUUGUCUAAUGGGUCUGUUUGGUUACUAGAGAAGGCUCGACAUAUUCUUGACCUAAGGAGGAAUUUGAUUUCUGUUGGACAACUUGGUGAUGAAGGGCAUGCAAUACUAUUUGUUGGAGGUACUUGGAAGGUUACAAAGGGAGCUAAAGUAUUGGCUCAUGGAAAGAAGACUGGUACUCUAUAUAUGACCUCAAGUCCAAGAGACACAAUUGCAGUUGCUGAUGCAAGUACUGAUACAAGCCUAUGGCACCGCAGACUUGGUCACAUGAGUGAGAAAGGGAUGAAGAUGCUGCUGUCAAAAGGAAAACUACCAGAAUUGAAGUCCAUUGAUUUUGACAUGUGUGAAAGCUGCAUCUUAGGAAAGCAGAAAAUGGUGAGCUUCUUGAAAACUAGCAGGACACCAAAGGCUGAAAAAUUGGAGUUAGUACACACUAAUUUGUGGGGGCCUUCUCCGGUUGCAUCCUUUGGAGGCUCAAGGUACUACAUCACUUUCAUUGAUGACUCAAGCAGAAAGGUAUGAGUUUAUUUUCUGAAUAAUAAAUCUAAUGUAUUUGAAACUUUUAAGAAGUGGAAGGCCAUGGUUGAGACAGAAACAUGUUUAAAACUAAAAUGUUUGAGGUCUGAUAAUGGAGGAGAGUACAUAGAUGGAGGGUUCAGUGAGUAUUGUGCUGUACAGGGAAUCAGGAUGGAAAAGACCAUUCCUGGGACACCACAGCAGAAUGGUGUGACUGAGCACAUGAACAGAACUUUCAAUGAGCGUGCUAGGAGUAUGAGGUUGCAUGCUAGAUUACCAAAAACUUUUUGGGCUGAUGCUAUUAGCACUGCAGCUUACCUGAUAAACCGAGGGCCAUCAGUUCCCAUGGAGUUCAGACUUCCUGAGGAGGUUUGGAGUGGUAAAGAGGUAAAGUUUUCACAUUUAAAAGUUUUUAGUUGUGUUUCUUAUGUUCAUAUUGAUUCUGAUGCUCGUAGUAAACUUGAUGCAAAGUCUAAAAUAUGUUUUUUUAUUGGCUAUGGCGAUGAGAAAUUUAGCUAUAGGUUUUGGGAUGAACAAAACAGAAAAAUCAUCAGAAAUAGAAAUGUGAUAUUUAAUAAACAGAUUAUGUACAAGGACAGGUCAACUGUAGUGUCAGGUGUUACAGAGAUAGAUCAAAAGAAAUCUGAGUUUGUCAACUUAGAUGGAUUGACUGAAAGUACUGUUCAGAAAAGGGGUGAAGAAGAUAAGGAAAAUGUAAAUUCACAAGUAGAUCAGAGUACACCUGUAGCUGAAGUUCGCAGAUCUUCCAGGAACAUUAGACCUCCACAACGUUAUUCACCCGCUUUAAAUUAUCUCCUAUUGACUGAUGGUGGUGAGCUAGAGUGUUAUAAAGAAGCCUUGCAAGAUGAGAAUUCAAGCAAGUGGAAGUUAGCCAUGAAAGAUGAAAUGGAUUCCUUGUUGGGGAAUUAGACAUGGGAACUGACUGAAUUACCAGUAGAAAAGAAGGCUUUGCACAAUAAGUGGGAUUACAGAAUAAAGAAUGAGUAUGAUGGUAGCAAACGUUACAAGACUAGAUUAGUUGUUAAAGGGUUUCAACAGAAAGAGGGCAUUGACUACGUAGAGAUAUUUUCUCUAGUUGUGAAGAUGUCAACAAUUAGACUGGUGUUGGGAAUGGUGGCUACAGAAAAUUUACAUCUUGAGCAGUUAGAUGUGAAGACGGCAUUCCUUCAUGGUGACUUGGAGGAAGACCUUCAUUUAAUUCAAUCAGGAAGGGUCAUUGUUCAGGGACUAGAAAAUCUAGUCUGCAAACUGAGAAAUAGCUUGUAUCGCAUAAACAAGCUCCAAGACAAUGGUAUAAGAAAUUUGACAGUUUUAUGCAUAGAAUUGGAUUCAAGAGAUGUGAAACUGAUCAUUGUUGCUAUGUCAAAUUCUUUGACAAUUCUUAUAUCAUUUUACUAUUGUAUGUGAAUGAUAUGCUCAUUGCAGGGUCUAGCAUUGAGGAGAUUAAUAAUCUGAAAAAGCAAUUGUCAAAACAGUUUGCAAUGAAGGAUUUGGGAGCUGCAAAGCAAAUCCUUGGUAUGAGAAUCAUUAGAGAAAAGGCUAAUGGUACAUUGAAACUUUUACAGUCAGAGUAUGUGAAGAAAGUUCUCAGCAGGUUCAACAUGAAUGAAGCUAAACUAGUGAGCACACCCUUGGGUAGUCAUUUCAAAUUAAGCAAAGAACAGUCACCGAAGACAGAAGAAGAAAGGGACCAUAUGAGCAAGGUGCCCUAUGCCUCAGCUAUUGGCAGCUUGAUGUAUGCUAUGGUGUGUACAAGGUCAGACAUUGCACAUGCAGUGGGAGUUGUGAGCAGAUUCAUGAGUAGGCCUGGAAAGCAGUAUUGGGAGGCAGUCAAGUGGAUUCUGAGAUAUCUGAAGGGUUCAUCAGAUACAUGUUUUUGCUUCACAGGUGCAAAUUUGAAACUACAGGGUCAUGUAGAUGCUAAUUUUGUUGGCGAUAUUGAUAGUAGAAAGAGUACUACUGGGUUUGUAUUUACUCUGGGUGAUACAGCUAUAUCAUGGGCUUCAAAUCUACAAAAGAUUGCUACUUUGUCUACUACAGAAGCUGAGUAUGUUGCAGCAACUGAAGUUGGAAACGAGAUGAUUCGACUACAUGGUUUCUUAGAUGAAUUGGGUAAGAAACAGGAGAUGGGCAUUCUACACAGUGACAGUCAGAGUGCAAUCUUUCUUGCCAAAAAUUCGGCUUUUCAUUCAAAGUAGAAGCAUAUACAAACAAAAUACCACUUUAUCCGUUACCUUGUUGAAGAUAAAUUGGUAAUACUUGAGAAGAUUUGUAGAUCUAAGAACUCGACAGACAUGUUGACUAAGGGUGUUACUAUUGAGAAGUUGAAACUGUGUGCAGCUUCAAUUGGUCUUCUAGCUUGAGGACAGGAGGAUAAGUUGCAGGGAUGAGGGAUUGUUUCUUGAAGGAUAGCGAUUUGAUGUUGGUUAUUGAACCAGUCUCCAAGUGGGAGAUUUGUUGGGCUUUGUGGAGCCUAAUUUUGUUUGAUCCGGUUGGAUGACCCGACCCGACCUGAAUAAUGUUACGUGGAUUUUAAUGGGAGAUUUACUGAGGCUUAGUCCAUGAGCGCUCCGGCUUGGGGUUGCCCCCGGGAAAAUUUUUUUGGCCCGUUUAGCCCAUUGUGGAAUCGCCUUUUGUAAUUAGGGUUUUUUAGUGUGGUGUUGUUGCCGUGUUUUGAUAUAUAGAGAGAAAAUAUUGUAGCCGCAAGUUGUACUCUGUAUUCUUCCCUGAUAAUAGUAAUAUCCCUGCAACUCCGUAAAUGUAGGCAAAUUGCCGAACCACGUAAAUACUAUCUCGUAGGUGUGAUUGCUUUUUUUUUUCUUUGGCGUGUGUUUUCUCUAUUUUUUGUUUCUCACAGGUUGGAAUUUUGGUUGAAUUCCCAACAUACAUAACUUUUUCACUACAAAUUUUAUAAUUUCUGUUGAUCAACUCAGCUAUGUCUAUUGUGUACUACUCACAGUUGACCAACUCCACAAUUAUAAAAUUUAUAGAAUUUAAAAAAAAAAAAAUUGUGUCUUUAGGCUAGGGUGGCGUGCGAGAGCCCAUAGAUAUAUAUAUAUAUAUAUAUAUAUAUAUAUAUAUAUAUAAACACACAAUAUCUAAAAGGUAAUAAACAAUUUUGCUCUGAUACGUGUCACGCAACCAUAUAUAAAAAAUCUAAAGGGUGGCAAGGUGGACCUCCCCAAAAAAAUGUCAGGCAACCAUGUUUCAGUAUCGAUUUGCCACUUUUUUUUUUUUUUUUUUUGUGAGCAAGAAAUUUUAUUCACAAGACAAGCGAAUUUUUUUUCUAAAUAACAAUAAAUAUUAAAAAAUUUAGUUAGUUGUCACGUUGCAAAAGAAUUUUGAAAACUAGCAUCUCGAGUGUCUAAAACUCGAGUUCCAAGAUAAAAAUCAAGUUUUUGAGGGUUGAUUUGUAAAAAAAAAUCCAAGUGAAAAUCGAGUUUUAAAAACUCGAGUUCCGAAAAUGCCGCUAUAGGGCUUAAAAACGUCACUAUAGGGCUUAAAAAUGGAGUUAUAAAAAAAUUUAGCAGAAAAACGCCACUAUAGGGCUUUAAAACGUCAGUAUAUGGCAUAAAAACGCCACUAUAGGGCUUACUGAACCUGGUAUUGAACACUUAUGAAAAAAUUUUGUAGGAAAACGCCGCUAUAGGGCUUUAAAACGUCAUUAUAAGACUUAAAAACGCCACUAUAGGGGCGAUAAAACUAAAAUUUUUUUUGCAUGGAACUCGAGUUUUUAAAACUCGAGAUUUAUGUAAAUGGAUCUCGAUUUUUUAAAACUUGAGAUGCCUAAUUUCCUUUAUAGUUUCACGCGUUGUCUAACUAACCAAAUACUCCUCUUACCCAUAAUUAUUCUGCACAUUCCCCCCAAGACAAGCAGAACUAUAAAGAGAGAACAAAAGCCUCUUCCUUAAUGAUAAGCUCAAAAUAGGAAGAGGGGAAACCAACAUCGAAAGAACCAAAAACAUUAUUUACAAAAGACCACUUAGCUAGAAAAUGGGUUGCUUUAUUAGCCACCUUGCAUAUAUAAGAGCAACCAUAUUUCAUAUAAGUACAAAAUAUAUUUUCGUCCUUUUACAACUACCUUAAAGUUUAAUGGGUCCCACUUCAACCUCAUAGUUUUGUGCUUUGACACGUUUUCACUGCUUUAACGGUUCACCUUUCUCCACCCAAUGCGUGCAAAGAUAAAUAAUGUUAUCUUAUCUGCACCCUUUUUUUUACAACAAAUUUCAUAAAAGUUGACAAAAUCUUUUUUACAUCUAUUGAGUUAUUAAGUUGAUAUUAAUCUUAUUUGGAGCAAUCACUCAAUCAUUUUAUUGUUUAUCAUUUACAACUUGUCAAUAAAGUGAUUGUAAAAGAUUUUGUGAAAAAAACUAUUAGAUUUAUUAUUUUUGAAACAUAUAAUUGUAGUCAAUUGUGAUAUGUACUUGUGAAAAAAAAUUUCACAAGAUAUAUACUUGAUAUCCUUGGUGUUUACAAUAAUGAUCUUCGUAUGAUUGAAUAAUUAUACAUCCUUCAGGGCUUUUUCUGUAUAAAAAAAAAAAAAGAUAUAUUAUGAAAAAAAAAACUUUUGUUUUCUAUAUUUUAAUACUAUGAAAUAUAUUUAUUUUGUUAUUAAUAUUUUUUAGAUUAAUGUUAGUUUCAAUCUUGGUUUCCUUAAACUGAAAUCAUGGCUCUAACACCCUUGAGAUUUUACAAGAUAACACUCUCUAAAUGUUUCAUUUCAUGAAACAUUUAAGUUUCCAUUGAAAAAAUAUAUUUUAAAAAAAAAUCAUAUUAAUUUAUACAUGCUUUAGGGAAGGACUGUCAUUCAUCCACAAAUAUUAAAGGUGGAGAGUUAUUUCGUCCAUAAUUUGGAUAAGAAUCUUUCAUAAAAAUGGAAUAUAUUGCAAGUAAAAUCACAAUUUGAGAGUAUAUGAACUUAGUUGUUGCAUUUAUACAAAACUCGAGAGUGCCAUUCUUCCACAAAUCCGAAGAAAUAAAAGUGCCGUUUUGAUAAAGAAUGAUGGUAUUUUAAAAAAAUAAAACCAUAAUCCUUCUUUUUAUGAGUAAGGGAAUGGACCAUUUUUACUAGUUUCUAUGUUAUGUUUUGGACAGGGAGGUCCAUUUUGGAGAGUCCCAACUGGUCGAAGAGAUGGGACAAUCUCUAAUCGGUCAGAAGCCUUGAACAACAUCCCACCUCCAACUGGAAACUUCUCCACUCUCCAGAGACUAUUUUCCAACCAGGGUCUUGACUUAACUGACCUGGUCUUGCUCUCAGAGUCUCAGGUAAGCUAA
rnacentral:sRNA from 1 species